UCCAUGACACCCCUGGCUGUGCUACAUGCCAGGCUGUGACUCUGAUGCUGGUGCGCCCAGCACAACCUCCCACCAGCCCGUUCCCCUCCGCUUCCUCACCUCUGGAGCGGGGAACAACCAAAGUCCUCCCUCCAGGGUUGCUCUGAAAAGGAAAGUGUGGGCACACAGCAGGCAGACACCUGAAGAACACGACCUGUGAUGACCUGGGUUACCAAGGCUUUAGUAAUUUAGCCAAUGCUUAGCCUCCCACAAGAAUUACUUAAUUAGAAGAACCUGUAAUUUCGCAGCUUCUGAUGUAAAUGAGUCUCUGCAGUGAUAAGACCACAACCCUUGUCUGUUACUCUCACCAUAGAUACUGUUGAAUUCUGCUGUUCUUUUACUUCAGUUUUCCUAAGUCUUCACUGCCAGACAAUUAAAAUUUAAAGCCUAGGCAAAUCUUAA